ensembl:lncRNA
AUGAAGAUAUUUAAAGUAAAAUUCUUUUUAAAUUCAAUAAUAUUAACCAUAUUAUUAACAGUAUAUGUUGUUCCACAUGUUUUUAAUUUAAUAAAUUCUGUUUCUGCUGCUUCAAAAACGGGAGGUGGUGUAAAAGUGAUAAAUCAAAAUACUACUGGUGAACCUGACGUAUCACUAGUUAUACACAAUGUAUCAACAGGAUUAUUAUUUUUCAAUCGAAACCAUCAAUUAAUAUUACAGAAAUUGCAAAAAAUAUUGUUAAAUUGUACAAAGUCAAUUGAAAAAAAUCAAAGAUUAAAAAAUAUGAACAUAAGUAAAGAUGAUGUUUCAUCAUUUCCUGAAUUUUCAAAAAAUGUCAAUAAUGUCUUAAAAACUAUAGUAAGAUUUGUUAAAUUAAAUAUUACCAAAUUAAGUGAAAAGUUUAAUAAUAUAAAAAAAAACGAACCGUAUAAUUCAGGUUUUUUAAUGAACGCAAAAUUAUUUUUAUUAAUAGAACAGGUAAUGAGAGAAGAUAACGAAAAAAAUGUAACAUUUAACAAAAUGUAUCGUAAAAUAAAUCAAUUAAAAUCAUGUAUAAAAAUUAAAUUUGCCAUGGAUGUAUCAAAUUAUAACAAACAUCUUAUACUAAUAACAGAUAUCGACACAAAAACAAAUACUCUUACACUUAUUAUAGCUAAUGGUGUAAAAACAGAAUUAGUAACAGAAAGAGGAUCGUAUAAACAUAAAAAUGGUUCUAUAUCUUUUUUUAUUCAUUAUCCAUUGAUUUAUGAUAUAUUACAUUAUGUUAAAACAAAACAAAAUGACAAUAUAUAUUAUUUUAAAAAUAUAUGUAGAAAACAUAAUUUUAAAAACACAGCAUUUAAUUGGCUUACCCAUUUUUAUAAAUAUGAUGAAGCAUUAUGUAGUGUAACUACAUAUGCAAAUGGUGAUUGUCUCUUUGAAUCUUUACAAUUUUUACUUAAAUAUAAUAAUAUUUUACCAGCAGAUUAUUUAUCUAAUGGUAAAAGACAAGGAGAUAAAUUCUUAACAUGGUAUAUUGAAAACAUUAAAGAUAAAGUUUCUAAUUUUACAAUUAAAGAUUUAAGAAAUAUAACAAAUUAUGCAUUCUUAAUGUAUUUUCCUGAUUAUCCAUAUACUCAAAUUGAUAAUAAUCUUAUAGAAGAAAAAUUACAUUUGUUAACAUUAGCAGAAUUUUCAAGUUAUUUUAUUUAUAAUUCACCGUCAAAGGUAAAAGGUAAUAAAUAUAUUUUUGAAAAAAAAUUAUUUGAACAAAAUGAACUUCCUACAAAUAGAACAUAUAUUAACUAUUACGAUUUAAUAAAUAAUAGUGAUGAAAUAAAGGAUAAUAAUUUGAGUACUAGUAGUUAUAUUGAUAAUAGUAAUGUUUGUAGAACUGAUAGUAGCACUGAUAGUAGUACUGAUAGUAGUACUGAUAGUAGUUCUGACAGUAGUAGUAAUAGUAGUAAAAACAAUGCAACUGCAUUUAUCGAAUCGGAUAAAAAAAAGGAUAGUGGUAAGGAUAGUGGUAAGGAUAGUGGUAAGGAUAGUGGNNNNNNNNNNAUAAUGGUAAUAAUAACGAUAAAGACAUACGUGGUGGUAGUGAUCGAUUUAAAGGUGAUAGAAAACAACAUCCACUUGAAGGAAAAUCUAAAAAUAAUAAACCUACUGAAAAAUCAGAUAACAUUUCCAUAA